rnacentral:rRNA from 1 species
AGUCUAUAACGACUCUCGGCAACGGAUAUCUCGGCUCUCGCAUCGAUGAAGAACGUAGCGAAAUGCGAUACUUGGUGUGAAUUGCAGAAUCCCGUGAACCAUCGAGUCUUUGAACGCAAGUUGCGCCCUAAGCCUUCUGGCCGAGGGCACGUCUGC